rnacentral:rRNA from 1 species
GCGGCAGGCCUAACACAUGCAAGUCGAGCGGAUGAGUGGAGCUUGCUCCAUGAUUCAGCGGCGGACGGGUGAGUAAUGCCUAGGAAUCUGCCUGGUAGUGGGGGACAACGUUUCGAAAGGAACGCUAAUACCGCAUACGUCCUACGGGAGAAAGCAGGGGACCUUCGGGCCUUGCGCUAUCAGAUGAGCCUAGGUCGGAUUAGCUAGUAGGUGAGGUAAUGGCUCACCUAGGCGACGAUCCGUAACUGGUCUGAGAGGAUGAUCAGUCACACUGGAACUGAGACACGGUCCAGACUCCUACGGGAGGCAGCAGUGGGGAAUAUUGGACAAUGGGCGAAAGCCUGAUCCAGCCAUGCCGCGUGUGUGAAGAAGGUCUUCGGAUUGUAAAGCACUUUAAGUUGGGAGGAAGGGCAGUAAGUUAAUACCUUGCUGUUUUGACGUUACCAACAGAAUAAGCACCGGCUAACUUCGUGCCAGCAGCCGCGGUAAUACGAAGGGUGCAAGCGUUAAUCGGAAUUACUGGGCGUAAAGCGCGCGUAGGUGGUUCAGCAAGUUGGAGGUGAAAUCCCCGGGCUCAACCUGGGAACUGCCUCCAAAACUACUGAGCUAGAGUACGGUAGAGGGUAGUGGAAUUUCCUGUGUAGCGGUGAAAUGCGUAGAUAUAGGAAGGAACACCAGUGGCGAAGGCGACUACCUGGACUGAUACUGACACUGAGGUGCGAAAGCGUGGGGASCAAACAGGAUUAGAUACCCUGGUAGUCCACGCCGUAAACGAUGUCGACUAGCCGUUGGGAUCCUUGAGAUCUUAGUGGCGCAGCUAACGCAUUAAGUCGACCGCCUGGGGAGUACGGCCGCAAGGUUAAAACUCAAAUGAAUUGACGGGGGCCCGCACAAGCGGUGGAGCAUGUGGUUUAAUUCGAAGCAACGCGAAGAACCUUACCUGGCCUUGACAUGCUGAGAACUUUCCAGAGAUGGAUUGGU